UCCCUGGUGGUCUAGUGGUUUGGAUUCAGUGCUUUCACUGCUGUGGCCUGGGUUUAACCCCUGGUCUGGGAA
rnacentral:tRNA from 1 species